GACGAACGCUGGCGGCGUGCUUAACACAUGCAAGUCGAACGGUGAAGGGGUCUGCUUUUGUGGGCCCUGGAUGAGUGGCGAACGGGUGAGUAACACGUGAGUAACCUGCCCCCUUCUUCUGGAUAACCGCAUGAAAGUGUGGCUAAUACGGGAUAUUCUGGGUCUGUCGCAUGAUGGGUCUGGGAAAGAUUGCGCCUUUGGGUGUUUUUGGUGGGGGAUGGGCUCGCGGCCUAUCAGCUUGUUGGUGGGGUGAUGGCCUACCAAGGCGGUGACGGGUAGCCGGCCUGAGAGGGUGGACGGUCACACUGGGACUGAGACACGGCCCAGACUCCUACGGGAGGCAGCAGUGGGGAAGAUUGCACAAUGGGCGCAAGCCUGAUGCAGCGACGCCGCGUGAGGGAUGGAGGCCUUCGGGUUGUAAACCUCUUUCGCCAGUGAAGCAGGCCUGCUCCGUGUGGGUGGGUUGACGGUAGCUGGAGAAGAAGCGCCGGCUAACUACGUG
rnacentral:rRNA from 1 species